rnacentral:lncRNA from 1 species
CAACAUGGGCCUGGCAGGGAGGAGGUGUCUGUGAAAGAGUGCUUAGCAGUUUGGAUGUGGGCCCUGGUCGUCAGGCUCAAGAGAUUCCCAGUGGCCGUCAGUUUACCUGCCGAGAAAUCUGGAAGAGUCCUUCCUAUGCAGUGGCCGCCCACACUGUACUCUCCUGCUUCCCUGGUGCUCAGAUUGACAGGGUUUUCUGCCUUUGAUUGGCUCCCAAAAUGAGAGGUAAAUCGGUUAGGACAUAAUAAAUGCUGAAUGCUGGAGGGCCAAAUGCAGGGCCCCAACCUAAGUAGCUGAGAGGGCUGCCCAGAUGCUCUCUUGGGGCCUGCCUCUAGGGAAGGAAGCAGAAUUCUGGCUUCGGGUGGAUAAAAGGAAGAAUACACCCCGCCCCCGCCCCCGUCUCCUGCUGUGGUCUGCUGGCCAGGAGGGCCUUAUCUGUGCUCCCCCUGGCCUUGGCCUGCCAUGGUGUGGCUGGCGGGGGGUAUGGGAGGGAGAUCGUGCACACGUGUCAUCUCCAUCUCAACCAGACAUCUGGGCCCCGGCAGGAGAGAUGAUUUGCAGCUAUGAAUUUUGCUCUUCAUCCUGGAGGCUCUUGCUGCUGCUGCUGCUAAGUUGCUUCAGUCGUGUCCGACUCUGUGCGACCCCAUAG